rnacentral:rRNA from 1 species
CGUAGGGUGCGAGCGUUAAUCGGAAUUACUGGGCGUAAAGCGUGCGCAGGCGGUUUUGUAAGACAGAUGUGAAAUCCCCGGGCUCAACCUGGGACCUGCAUUUGUGACUGCAAGGCUAGAGUACGGUAGAGGGGGAUGGAAUUCCGCGUGUAGCAGUGAAAUGCGUAGAUAUGCGGAGGAACACCGAUGGCGGAGGCAAUCCCCUGGACCUGUACUGACGCUCAUGCACGAAAGCGUGGGGAGCAAACAGGAUUAGAUACCCUGGUAGUCCACGCCCUAAACGAUGUCAACUGGUUGUUGGGUCUUUACUGACUCAGUAACGAAGCUAACGCGUGAAGUUGACCGCCUGGGGAGUACGGCCGCAAGGUUG